rnacentral:lncRNA from 1 species
UCUAAUGGUCUAUAAUAUUUUUGCAGGAAAUUUGUAUCAUGAGAACAUCAUUUAUAAGACUAAUGAAUUCAAUGAAAGUGUUGCCAUGAGUAUUUGUACCCAUUGGUCCACCUCACCAAUGAAUUCCAAGGUCUGACUGAGUUUGUCUUUGUGACUUGGUGUACAGCUCACCACCUCUCUUUGGCACCAUGGCAAGGGAAGAACUGAAUUGUCUUUUCUUGGGCCACGGGAGACAGCAAGGCAUGGACAUUCGUGUUAUGACAACCCUAGGGAACUGUAAUAAUCCAGAUGACCAGAGGCAUCCCCCACACCGCUGCGACCAUUUCAGCAUGGCAGGAAGGCAUGGGACAGCCACAAUAAUGAUCCUUGGUGAGUAUCUGGUACCAGCAGGAGUUGCUAGGAGCUUCCCCACAGUGAUGGUGGCACACAGAACAAAGGCUAGUGCCCAGAAAAGAUGGUGGCUUUGGACACACAUAGAAGCCACCAGCCGAAUUGGCAGUGGUCCCUUAGAGAUCUGUGCCUUGCAGAAGAAACAGUGACAUCCAGCAGACACAGAAGUCACAUAACAGGCUUUGUGAAUGAGAGUCCUGGAGACCCAGAGGGCCGGGC